rnacentral:lncRNA from 1 species
GAGAAUUCCAUAGUUAGCUGACUUUGACAAUGACCUUCAUUUGGACUUGAAUCGGCAAAAGUUGUAGGUUUUCAGCUUCCGAUACAUUUUGGUUAGAUGUGGGCCCACGUGUCGCUAUAAAAGUAAUUUUAUGCUUUGGUUAUUUGCUUUAUAGUAUAUAUGAAUAUAAUUAACUUUUACGCUAUAAGAAUUAUUUACCGAUAGCUUUAUAAAAAU